ACCUCCGCUUUGCAUGAGUUACGUAAUUGCAAUCGCGAUUCGUUAUGCGUUGAACUUUGCUAGAGCGGAUGCAGGAUAUAAGAACGAAUAGUACUAAUUAGAUGCACCUUUCACCAACGAACGCAUACUUCUGAGUAGUUUAACCAGCAAGGAUAACAUGAUGCUGUAAGGGCAAAAGUAAGACUUGCCAAUAAACUAGCAUUUAAAUUCUCUCUCUUUCUCUCUCUAAUUCUUAUAUCUAUUAUUAUUGUUCGUCUGUUUUAUUACUAUUAAACUAGAAUAAAUUUAGAGUCUAACCUGUAUAAGCCAAUUCACUUAAGUCGUCUUUUAGUAGAUAGAAAAGUUAUAGAUUAAUAAUGGAAAUAACUCGAUUAAUUAAUAGGUCUUUAAGAUAACUAAGAUACAAUUUCUGUUUUUAUGAUAAAUAGUUGUUAUAAGUAUUGUUCAUUAAAUAACACACUGAUGAUAUAAAAAAUGUUACAUUAUCUGUAACCAAAUUUUGGUAUUAAUGAUAUAAAACAAAUAAAAGUAAUUUAACAUGGA
rnacentral:lncRNA from 13 species